rnacentral:rRNA from 1 species
CGACGAGACCUUAACCUGCUAAGUAGUUAGGCCAACGUUUGUUGGUCGUCAACUUCUUAGAGGGACUAUUGACUAUUAGUCAAUGGAAGUUUGAGGCAAUAACAGGUCUGUGACGCCCUUAGAUGUUCUGGGCCGCACGCGCGCUACACUGAUCAAGUCAACGAGUUUACAACCUUGGCCGGAAGGUCUGGGUAAUCUUUUGAAACUUGAUCGUGCUGGGGAUAGUCCAUUGCAAUUAUUGGACUUCAACGAGGAAUUCCUAGUAAGCGUGAGUCAUCAGCUCGCGUUGAUUACGUCCCUGCCCUUUGUACACACCGCCCGUCGCUACUACCGAUUGAAUGGCUAAGG